rnacentral:rRNA from 1 species
AUUGAACGCUGGCGGCAUGCCUUACACAUGCAAGUCGAACGGCAGCACGGGAGCAAUCCUGGUGGCGAGUGGCGAACGGGUGAGUAAUAUAUCGGAACGUGCCCAGUCGUGGGGAUAACGUAGCGAAAGCUACGCUAAUACCGCAUACGAUCUAUGGAUGAAAGCGGGGGAUCGCAAGACCUCGCGCGAUUGGAGCGGCCGAUAUCAGAUUAGGUAGUUGGUGAGGUAAAGGCUCACCAAGCCGACGAUCUGUAGCUGGUCUGAGAGGACGACCAGCCACACUGGGACUGAGACACGGCCCAGACUCCUACGGGAGGCAGCAGUGGGGAAUUUUGGACAAUGGGCGCAAGCCUGAUCCAGCAAUGCCGCGUGCAGGAUGAAGGCCUCGGUUGUAACUGCUUUGUUACGGACGAACGGUGAGCUCUAAUACAGUUGCUAAUGACGGUACCGUAAGAAUAAGCACCGGCGUAACUACGUACG